CCCUAUGGGGUGCAGCAGGCGCGUAACCUUUACAAUGCACGCAAGUGUGAUAGGGGAAUCCCAAGUGCUUAUGCUUAGCAUAGGCUUUUGUUAAGAUUAAAACUCUUGGCGAAUAAGUGGUGGGAAAGACUGGUGCCAGCCGCCGCGGUAACACCAGCGCCACAAGUGGCAAUCGCGUUUAUUGGGCCUAAAGCGUUCGUAGCCGGUUUAGCAAAUCUUUUGUGAAAGUGUCAGGCUUAACUUGACAAAUGGCAGAAGACACUACUAAACUAGGGACCGGGAGGAGUCAGAAGUAUUCCGGGGGGACCGGUAAAAUGGUAUAAUCCCCGGAGGACUACCGAUGGCGAAGGCAUCUGACCAGAACGGAUCCGACGGUGAGGAACGAAAGCUAGGGGAGCGAACCGGAUUAGAUACCCGAGUAGUCCUAGCCGUAAACGCUGCGAGUUAGGUGUUGCACAAACUACGGGUUUGUGCAGUGUCGAAAGGAAGCUGUUAAACUCGCCGCCUGGGAAGUACGGUCGCAAGACUGAAACUUUAAGGAAUUGACGGGGGAGCACCACAAGGGGUGCAGCGUGCGGUUUAAUCUAACUCAACACAGAGAACCUCACUAGAGGCGACGGCAGGAUGAAGGUCAGUCUGAAGGGCUUACCUGACGAGCCGAGAGGUAGUGCAUGGCCA
rnacentral:rRNA from 1 species